rnacentral:rRNA from 1 species
UACGUAGGGGGCAAGCGUUGUCCGGAUUCAUUGGGCGUAAAGAGCGUGUAGGCGGCCAGGUAGGUCGGUUGUGAAAACUGGAGGCUCAACCUUCAGAGGUCGACCGAAACCAUCUGGCUAGAGUCCGGAAGAGGCGAGUGGAACUCCUGGUGUAGCGGUGGAAUGCGCAGAUAUCAGGAAGAACACCAACGGCGAAGGCAGCUCGCUGGGACGGAACUGACGCUGAGGCGCGACAGCGUGGGGAGCAAACAGG